CCCACGAGCUUUUAAAGUAGAGGUUACUGGUUCAAGUCUCGUCUGGAGUAAAAUUGCUCUGAGUGUUAUCACGGCCUGCCUUCGUGGACUGGGUUUCAUCUGAAAUGGUGGCGAUCCAGGACGUGGUGACCAACGUGAUUGACCGAGUAAUUAAUCUACCGAGCAACCCAAGGUAACCAGUGACUGAGGAGCUUGCUGCUUGGGGAUGUGUAGUGUUCGUCUACCCCUGUGUUGGGUGCUAAAUAAACAUGAACCAUGAACCUUGUUUAAGACUGUUUUAUUUACGCUUCCGCUACUUACUACUAUUUGAGCUUAAAACUUUAAACUCUGAACAUGAUAUUUACUAAU